rnacentral:misc_RNA from 1 species
AAGUCGUAACAAGGUUUCCGUAGGUGAACCUGCGGAAGGAUCAUUAUUGAAUGAACAUGGGCAAAGCUGUCGCUGGCCUCAGCAAUGGGGCAUGUGCACGCUUUGUUCAUCCACCUUCAUACCUCUGUGCACUUCUCAUGGGUUGGGUUGCGCUUGAAAAAUAGCAAAGCCUCCUCUCAUGUGUUUAAAUCACACACUACAAGUUUUAGAAUGUCACAAUCCAUGCGUUAAUGCAUAUAAUACAACUUUCAGCAACGGAUCUCUUGGCUCUC